rnacentral:rRNA from 1 species
UUAAGCGACUAAGCGUACACGGUGGAUGCCCUGGCAGUCAGAGGCGAUGAAGGACGUGCUAAUCUGCGAAAAGCGUCGGUAAGGUGAUAUGAACCGUUACAGCCGGCGAUGUCCGAAUGGGGAAACCCAGUGCAAUUCGUUGCACUAUCGUUAACUGAAUACAUAGGUUAACGAGGCGAACCGGGGGAACUGAAACAUCUAAGUACCCCGAGGAAAAGAAAUCAACCGAGAUUCCCCCAGUAGCGGCGAGCGAACGGGGAGCAGCCCAGAGUCUGAAUCAGCUUGUGUGUUAGUGGAACGGUCUGGAAAGUCCGACGGUACAGGGUGAUAGUCCCGUACACCAAAAUGCACAGGUUGUGAACUCGAAGAGUAGGGCGGGACACGUGGUAUCCUGUCUGAAUAUGGGGGGACCAUCCUCCAAGGCUAAAUACUCCUGACUGACCGAUAGUGAACCAGUACCGUGAGGGAAAGGCGAAAAGAACCCCGGCGAGGGGAGUGAAAAAGAACCUGAAACCGUGUACGUACAAGCAGUGGGAGCACCUUCGGGUGUGACUGCGUACCUUUUGUAUAAUGGGUCAGCGACUUAUAUUCUGUAGCAAGGUUAACCGUAUAGGGGAGCCGCAGGGAAACCGAGUCUUAACUGGGCGUUAAGUUGCAGGGUAUAGACCCGAAACCCGGUGAUCUAGCCAUGGGCAGGUUGAAGGUUGGGUAACACUAACUGGAGGACCGAACCGACUAAUGUUGAAAAAUUAGCGGAUGACUUGUGGCUGGGGGUGAAAGGCCAAUCAAACCGGGAGAUAGCUGGUUCUCCCCGAAAGCUAUUUAGGUAGCGCCUCGUGAACUCAUCUUCGGGGGUAGAGCACUGUUUCGGCUAGGGGGUCAUCCCGACUUACCAACCCGAUGCAAACUACGAAUACCGAAGAAUGUUAUCACGGGAGACACACGGCGGGUGCUAACGUCCGUCGUGAAGAGGGAAACAACCCAGACCGCCAGCUAAGGUCCCAAAGUCAUGGUUAAGUGGGAAACGAUGUGGGAAGGCACAGACAGCCAGGAUGUUGGCUUAGAAGCAGCCAUCAUUUAAAGAAAGCGUAAUAGCUCACUGGUCGAGUCGGCCUGCGCGGAAGAUGUAACGGGGCUAAACCAUGCACCGAAGCUGCGGCAGCGACACUAUGUGUUGUUGGGUAGGGGAGCGUUCUGUAAGCCUGCGAAGGUGUGCUGUGAGGCAUGCUGGAGGUAUCAGAAGUGCGAAUGCUGACAUAAGUAACGAUAAAGCGGGUGAAAAGCCCGCUCGCCGGAAGACCAAGGGUUCCUGUCCAACGUUAAUCGGGGCAGGGUGAGUCGACCCCUAAGGCGAGGCCGAAAGGCGUAGUCGAUGGGAAACAGGUUAAUAUUCCUGUACUUGGUGUUACUGCGAAGGGGGGACGGAGAAGGCUAUGUUAGCCGGGCGACGGUUGUCCCGGUUUAAGCAUGUAGGCUGAUUGUCCAGGCAAAUCCGGAUAAUCAAGGCUGAGGUGUGAUGACGAGGCACUACGGUGCUGAAGUAACAAAUGCCCUGCUUCCAGGAAAAGCCUCUAAGCAUCAGGUAACAUUAAAUCGUACCCCAAACCGACACAGGUGGUCAGGUAGAGAAUACCAAGGCGCUUGAGAGAACUCGGGUGAAGGAACUAGGCAAAAUGGUGCCGUAACUUCGGGAGAAGGCACGCUGGUGUGUAGGUGAAGUCCCUGCGGAUGGAGCUGAGACCAGUCGAAGAUACCAGCUGGCUGCAACUGUUUAUUAAAAACACAGCACUGUGCAAACACGAAAGUGGACGUAUACGGUGUGACGCCUGCCCGGUGCCGGAAGGUUAAUUGAUGGGGUUAUCCGUAAGGAGAAGCUCUUGAUCGAAGCCCCGGUAAACGGCGGCCGUAACUAUAACGGUCCUAAGGUAGCGAAAUUCCUUGUCGGGUAAGUUCCGACCUGCACGAAUGGCGUAAUGAUGGCCAGGCUGUCUCCACCCGAGACUCAGUGAAAUUGAACUCGCUGUGAAGAUGCAGUGUACCCGCGGCAAGACGGAAAGACCCCGUGAACCUUUACUAUAGCUUGACACUGAACAUUGAGCCUUGAUGUGUAGGAUAGGUGGGAGGCUUUGAAGCGUGGACGCCAGUCUGCGUGGAGCCAACCUUGAAAUACCACCCUUUAAUGUUUGAUGUUCUAACGUUGGCCCCUGACCGGGGUUGCGGACAGUGUCUGGUGGGUAGUUUGACUGGGGCGGUCUCCUCCCAAAGCGUAACGGAGGAGCACGAAGGUUAGCUAAUCCUGGUCGGACAUCAGGAGGUUAGUGCAAUGGCAUAAGCUAGCUUGACUGCGAGCGUGACGGCGCGAGCAGGUGCGAAAGCAGGUCAUAGUGAUCCGGUGGUUCUGAAUGGAAGGGCCAUCGCUCAACGGAUAAAAGGUACUCCGGGGAUAACAGGCUGAUACCGCCCAAGAGUUCAUAUCGACGGCGGUGUUUGGCACCUCGAUGUCGGCUCAUCACAUCCUGGGGCUGAAGUAGGUCCCAAGGGUAUGGCUGUUCGCCAUUUAAAGUGGUACGCGAGCUGGGUUUAGAACGUCGUGAGACAGUUCGGUCCCUAUCUGCCGUGGGCGCUGGAGAAUUGAGGGGGGCUGCUCCUAGUACGAGAGGACCGGAGUGGACGCAUCACUGGUGUUCGGGUUGUCAUGCCAAUGGCACUGCCCGGUAGCUAAAUGCGGAAGAGAUAAGUGCUGAAAGCAUCUAAGCACGAAACUUGCCCCGAGAUGAGUUCUCCCUGAGACUUUAAGUCUCCUGAAGGAACGUUAAAGACGAUGACGUUGAUAGGCCGGGUGUGUAAGCGCAGCGAUGCGUUGAGCUAACCGGUACUAAUGAACCGUGAGGCUUAACCUU